rnacentral:rRNA from 1 species
GGGCUACACACGUGCUACAAUGGCAAGUACAGAGGGCUGCCAGCCAGCGAUGGUGAGCUAAUCCCUUAAAGCUUGUCGUAGUCCGGAUCGGAGUCUGCAACUCGACUCCGUGAAGUCGGAAUCGCUAGUAAUCGCGUAUCAGCAAUGACGCGGUGAAUACGUUCCCGGACCUUGUACACACCGCCCGUCAAGCCAUGGGAAUUGGGAGGACCUGAAGACGGUUGCCGCAAGGCGCUGUUUAGGGUUAAACCAGUGAC